UACAGAGGUCUCAAGCGUUGUUCGGAUUCAUUGGGCGUAAAGGGUGCGUAGGUGGUGCUGUAAGUCAGGUGUGAAAUCUCGGGGCUCAACCCCGAAACUGCACUUGAUACUGCCUCGCUUGAGUACUGGAGAGGAGACUGGAAUUUACGGUGUAGCAGUGAAAUGCGUAGAUAUCGUAAGGAAGACCAGUGGCGAAGGCGAGUCUCUGGACAGCAACUGACGCUGAGGCACGAAGGCCAGGGGAGCAAACGGG
rnacentral:rRNA from 1 species